CGGCCAAGAUGGCCGCCUCCCCCGCAGGGCGGGGCCUGCGCCGCACACCAUAGAGAGGAGAGGAAGGACGGGAGAGGGGCAGGGACAGAGCGGCGCUUGCGGGAGGGAAGGGGCGCGGCGACGCGCCCGUUGAUGGCGUCAUCACCGAGUGACGCCGGCUGUAGCGGCGCCUGACGUAAGCGCAGUGCCCGCGCUCCCGGUGGUAAGGGAGCCCGGCUCCCUCAGCUCCGUCCUGGUGCGGGCCACGCGCGCCGCCUCUCCCCACCGGCUGCACGCGGGCACCUGUUUUCCGCCCCCGUAUUUAAACCGCUUUCGCACGCCGCUUGCAGCUUUGCGCUUGCGCGGCCUUUGAACGGUCGGAGCCGGCUCGCUACCGGAGGUGACGGCCCCGUAUGCCGCCUCCCGCUCCCUUCUGCUCCUGCGGUGCUGAGGCUCAGAAAUGACUACCCCAAACAAGACACCACCUGGUGCAGAUCCAAAGCAGUUAGAGAGGACGGGUACUGUAAGAGAAAUAGGCUCACAAGCAGUCUGGUCACUUUCAUCUUGUAAACCAGGAUUUGGGGUGGAUCAGUUACGAGAUGAUAAUCUAGAAACUUACUGGCAGUCGGAUGGAUCACAGCCUCAUUUGGUGAACAUCCAAUUUAGAAGAAAAACAACUGUGAAGACAUUAUGUAUCUAUGCAGACUACAAGUCUGAUGAAAGCUACACUCCAAGCAAAAUCUCUGUCAGAGUGGGAAAUAAUUUUCAUAAUCUCCAGGAAAUCCGGCAUCGAAUCACCUCAAGGUACACAAAAGACAUCCUUCCACCUUACCCACCGUGUGCACCCAAUUCUUUGAGCAAAAGCAAUCUCAUGAGUAGAAUCAUAGAAUGACCAAGGUUGGAAAAGACUUCAAGGAUCAUUCAGUCCAACCAUCCACAUAUUGCCAGUAUUUCCUGCUAAACUAUGUCCCUCAGUACAACAUCCACAUGUACCUUGAACACCUUCCGGGUUGGUUACUCCACCACAUCCUUGGACAUCCUGUUCCAGUGCCUGACCACUCAACUGAAGAAGAGAGAGGUUGCUUCCAUUACUGUAAGCACAUGACAUUUGCCACGCAACUUGAAUUAGUGGAACCAAGCGGCUGGAUUCAUGUUCCUUUAACAGAUACCCAUAAGAAGCCU